CCUACGGGUGGCAGCAGUGAGGAAUAUUGGUCAAUGGACGAGAGUCUGAACCAGCCAAGUAGCGUGAAGGAUGACUGCCCUAUGGGUUGUAAACUUCUUUUAUAAAGGAAUAAAACGAGGCACGUGUGCCUUUUUGUAUGUACUUUAUGAAUAAGGAUCGGCUAACUCCGUGCCAGCAGCCGCGGUAAUACGGAGGAUCCGAGCGUUAUCCGGAUUUAUUGGGUUUAAAGGGAGCGUAGGUGGGUUGUUAAGUCAGUUGUGAAAGUUUGCGGCUCAACCGUAAAAUUGCAAUUGAUACUGGCAGUCUUGAGUACAGUAGAGGUAGGCGGAAUUCGUGGUGUAGCGGUGAAAUGCUUAGAGAUCACGAAGAACCCCGAUUGCGAAGGCAGCUUACUAGACUGUAACUGACAUUGAUGCUCGAAAGUGUGGGUAUCAAACAGGAUUAGAUACCCUUGUAGUC
rnacentral:rRNA from 1 species